rnacentral:rRNA from 1 species
GACGGAAGGUGCAAGCGUUGCUCGGAAUCACUGGGCGUAAAGGGUGCGUAGGCGGCGCGGUAAGUCGGGUGUGAAAUCUCGGGGCUUAACUCCGAAACUGCAUUCGAUACUGCCGUGCUUGAGGACUGGAGAGGAGACUGGAAUUUACGGUGUAGCGGUGAAAUGCGUAGAUAUCGUAAGGAAGACCAGUGGCGAAGGCGGGUCUCUGGACAGUUCCUGACGCUGAGGCACGAAGGCCCAGGGGAGCAAACGGG